AUACUUCGAAUAAGCUCUUCGACCUUCGCUGUUUUUCAAAAUAACCGUUUCGUGCUCUCGUUCUUCAAAAUUACAAUGUCUCCUUCGACAAUUACAUCCCUUGUACCGUUGUUACUCGAGCUCGCUGCUUCGCGAAUACUUAGCAAAUAUUCUCGUCUCCAUUGUUUAGUGAAUUCCUUUAGUAGAGUUUUGUGAUGUCGAGCUCGUCUUGUCAAAGACUCGUUUGUGUUCACUAUCUCGAACUGUCUGUCGUUUGGCG